rnacentral:rRNA from 1 species
AUUGAACGCUGGCGGCAUGCUUUACACGUGCAAGUCGAACGGUAACAGGCCUUCGGGUGCUGACGAGUGGCGAACGGGCGAGUAAUGCAUCGGAACGUACCCAGAGGUGGGGGAUAACGCAGCGAAAGCUGUGCUAAUACCGCAUGUGAUCUGAGGAUGAAAGCGGGGGACCGGGCAGCAAUGUUUGGCCUCGCGCCUUUGGAGCGGCCGAUGUCGGAUUGGCUAGUUGGUGGGGUAAAGGCCUACCAAGGCGACGAUCCGUAGCUGGUCUGAGAGGACGACCAGCCACACUGGAACUGAGACACGGCCCAGACUCCUACGGGAGGCAGCAGUGGGGAAUUUUGGACAAUGGGCGCAAGCCUGAUCCAGCAAUGCCGCGUGCGGGAAGAAGGCCUUCGGGUUGUAAACCGCUUUUGGCAGGAACGAAACGGUGUCCGCUAAUACCGGGCGCUAAUGACGGUACCUGCAGAAUAAGCACCGGCUAACUACGUG